rfam:Oryza barthii chromosome 11, whole genome shotgun sequence.
UCAGCUAAGGUUGCCUUUUUCAAGCAAGUAAACUAGUGGCUUCAGAUCCGGAGAUUCCCAAAUAGGUCAACCUUUUGAACUGCCUGCUGAAUCCAUGAGCAGGCAAGAGACAACCUGGCGAACUGAAACAUCUUAGUAGCCAGAGGAAAAGAAAGCANAAGC